GCGCCUGGAUCUUUCCUUCCUGUGCAGUGCAGGUCUGGGGACAGUUGGUGCGACAGCACAAAUCCAGAUGGGUUGUUUUCCGCUGGUUCGGAGCUCAUCUCUACACCUCUGCAACAUUG